rnacentral:rRNA from 1 species
AUACGUAGGGUGCGAGCGUUGUCCGGAAUUACUGGGCGUAAAGCGCAUGUAGGCGGUUUGGUAAGUCGGUCGUGAAAAUGCGGUGCUUAACGCCGUAUGGCGAUUGAAACUGCUGAACUUGAGUGCAGGAGAGGAAAGGGGAACUCCCAGUGUAGCGGUGAAAUGCGUAGAUAUUGGGAAGAACACCGGUGGCGAAGGCGCCUUUCUGGACUGUGUCUGACGCUCAGAUGCGAAAGCCAGGGUAGCGAACGGGAUUAGAUACCCCGGUAGUCCUGGCCGUAAACGAUGGGUACUAGGUGUGGGAGGUAUCGACUCCUUCCGUGCCGGAGUUAACGCAAUAAGUAUUCCGCCUGGGGAGUACGGCCGCAAGGCUUAAACUCAAAUGAAUUGACGGGG